rnacentral:pre_miRNA from 1 species
AAUGGAAUUGCUGGAUCAUAUGGUCACUCUGUAUUGAAUUUUUUUAGGAAUUGCCAAAUUGUUUUCCAUAGCAGCUGUACCAUUUACAUUCCCACCAGCAAU